UCAUAUGCUUGUCUCAAAGAUUAAGCCAUGCAUGUCUAAGUACAUGCCUAAGCAAGGUGAAACCGCGAAUGGCUCAUUAAAUCAGUUAUGGUUCCUUAGAUCGUACCUUUUUACUUGGAUAACUGUGGUAAUUCUAGAGCUAAUACAUGCAGCAGAGCUCCGACCUUCGGGGACGAGCGCUUUUAUUAGACCAAGACCAAUCGGGCUUCGGUCCGAACCUCCUGGUGACUCUGGAUAACUUUGAGCAGAUCGCACGGUCUCGUACCGGCGACGCAUCUUUCAAGUGUCUGCCUUAUCAACUGUCGAUGGUAGGUUAUGCGCCUACCAUGGUCGUAACGGGUAACGGGGAAUCAGGGUUCGAUUCCGGAGAGGGAGCCUGAGAAACGGCUACCACAUCCAAGGAAGGCAGCAGGCGCGCAAAUUACCCACUCCCGGCACGGGGAGGUAGUGACGAAAAAUAACAAUACGGGACUCUAUUGAGGCCUCGUAAUUGGAAUGAGUACACUCUAAAUCCUUUAACGAGGAUCUAUUGGAGGGCAAGUCUGGUGAGCUGCUAGUUGGAUCUCAGUUCCAGACGGGUGGUCCACCGCCCGGUGGCUACUGCCCGGCCUGAACAAUCUCGCCGGUUUUCCUUGAUUCUCUUCACCGAGUGUCUUGGGUGACCGGCACGUUUACUUUGAAAAAAUUAGAGUGCUUAAAGCAGGCGUAACGCCAGAAUAAUGGUGCAUGGAAUAAUGGAAUAGGACCUCGGUUCUAUUUUGUUGGUUUUCGGAACACGAGGUAAUGAUUAAGAGGGACAGACGGGGGCAUUCGUAUUGCGACGCUAGAGGUGAAAUUCUUGGACCGUCGCAAGACGAACUACUGCGAAAGCAUUUGCCAAGAAUGUUUUCAUUAAUCAAGAACGAAAGUUAGAGGUUCGAAGGCGAUCAGAUACCGCCCUAGUUCUAACCAUAAACGAUGCCAACCAGCGAUCCGCCUGAGUUCCUCAACUGACUCGGCGGGCAGCUUCCGGGAAACCAAAGUGUUUGGGUUCCGGGGGAAGUAUGGUUGCAAAGCUGAAACUUAAAGGAAUUGACGGAAGGGCACCACCAGGAGUGGAGCCUGCGGCUUAAUUUGACUCAACACGGGAAAACUUACCCGGCCCGGACACUGGAAGGAUUGACAGAUUAAGAGCUCUUUCUUGAUUCAGUGGGUGGUGGUGCAUGGCCGUUCUUAGUUGGUGGAGCGAUUUGUCUGGUUAAUUCCGAUAACGAACGAGACUCUAGCCUACUAAAUAGGGGACCGAUCACUGAAGUCGGUCCGUCUUCUUAGAGGGACAAGCGGCGUUUAGCCGCACGAGACAGAGCAAUAACAGGUCUGUGAUGCCCUUAGAUGUCCGGGGCCGCACGCGCGCUACACUGAAGGAAUCAGCGUGCUCAUCGCUGUCCGGAAGGACUGCGUAACCCCAUCAACCUCCUUCGUGAUGGGGAUAGGGGCUUGUAAUUGUUCCCCUUGAACGAGGAAUUCCCAGUAAGCACGAGUCAUAAGCUCGUGUUGAUUACGUCCCUGCCCUUUGUACACACCGCCCGUCGCUACUACCGAUUGAAUGAUUUAGUGAGGUCUUCGGACUGGCGCUCGGAGCGGCCAUCGUGUUGCGCCGGCGUGCCGGAAAGAUGACCAAACUUGAU
rnacentral:rRNA from 1 species